CCUACGGGUGGCAGCAGUGAGGAAUAUUGGACAAUGGACGAGAGUCUGAACCAGCCAAGUAGCGUGAAGGAUGACUGCCCUAUGGGUUGUAAACUUCUUUUAUAAAGGAAUAAAACGAGGCACGUGUGCCUUUUUGCAUGUACUUUAUGAAUAAGGAUCGGCUAACUACGUGCAAGCAGCCGCGGUAAUCCGGAGGAUCCGAGCGUUAUCCGUAUUUAUUGGGUUUAAAGGAAGCGUAGAUGGGUUGUUAGGUCAGUUGUGAAAGUUUGCGGCUCAACCGUAAAAUUGCAAUUGAUACUGGCAGUCUUGAGUACAGUUGGGGUAGGCGGAAUUCGUGGUGUAGCGGUGAAAUGCUUAGAUAUCACGAAGAACCCCGAUAGCGAAGGCAGGUUACUAAGCUGGGACUGACAUUGAUGCUCGAAAGUGUGGGUAGCAAACAGGAUUAGAUACCCGGGUAGUC
rnacentral:rRNA from 1 species